rnacentral:rRNA from 1 species
AACGAACGCUGGCGGAAUGCUUUACACAUGCAAGUCGAACGGCAGCACGGGGCAACCUGGUGGCGAGUGGCGAACGGGUGAGUAAUACAUCGGAACGUGCCCAGUCGUGGGGGAUAACGUAGCGAAAGCUACGCUAAUACCGCAUACGAUCUACGGAUGAAAGCGGGGGACUCGCAAGAGCCUCGCGCGAUUGGAGCGGCCGAUGGCAGAUUAGGUAGUUGGUGGGGUAAAGGCUCACCAAGCCUGCGAUCUGUAGCUGGUCUGAGAGGACGACCAGCCACACUGGAACUGAGACACGGUCCAGACUCCUACGGGAGGCAGCAGUGGGGAAUUUUGGACAAUGGGCGCAAGCCUGAUCCAGCCAUUCCGCGUGCAGGAUGAAGGCC